ensembl:snRNA U6 U6 spliceosomal RNA
GUGCAUGCUUCAGCAGCACGUAUACUAAAAUUGGAAUGAUACAGAGAAGAUUAGCAUGGCCCUGCACAAGGAUGACACGCAAGAAGUAUGAUUCUGGACUAUGCAAU